GACGAACGCUGGCGGCGUGCCUAAUACAUGCAAGUCGAACGCAGUGGGGACGGGUGAGUAACACGUGGGUAAGCUCCCAUCAGGGGGGAGAAGACUUGGAAACAGGGGCUAAACCGAAACUGAUGGAUGGAGCAGCGUUGCAUUGGCUAGUUGUUGAGGUAACGGCUCACCAAGGCAACGAUGCAUAGCCGACCUGAGAGGGUGAUCGGCCACACUGGGACUGAGACACGGCCCAGACUCCUACGGUAGGCAGCAGUAGGGAAUCUUCGGCAAUGGACGAAAGUCUGACCGAGCAACGCCGCGUGAGUGAAGAAGGUUUUCGGAUCGUAAAACUCUGUUGUUAGAGAAGCGGUAUCUAACCAGAAAGCCACGGCUAACUACGUGCCAGCAGCCGCGGUAAUUC
rnacentral:rRNA from 1 species